rnacentral:rRNA from 1 species
CACGUAGGCGGUUUGUUAAGUCGGAUGUGAAAGCCCCGGGCUCAACCUGGGAACUGCAUUCGAUACUGUCAGACUAGAGUAUAGAAGAGGCAAGUGGAAUUCCGGGUGUAGCGGUGAAAUGCGUAGAUAUCCGGAGGAACAUCAGUGGCGAAGGCGACUUGCUGGUCUAAUACUGACGCUGAGGUGCGAAAGCGGUGGGGAGCAAACG